rnacentral:rRNA from 1 species
GACGUAGGGUCCAAGCGUUGUCCGGAUUUACUGGGCGUAAAGAGCGCGUAGGCGGUCCGUUAAGUGUAGAGUGAAAGCUCCGGGCUCAACCCGGAAAUUGCUCUGCAUACUGGCGGACUCGAGGGUGGCAGAGGUUUGUGGAAUUCCUGGUGUAGCGGUGAAAUGCGUAGAUAUCAGGAGGGACACCGGUGGCGAAGGCGGAUCUCUGGGCCAUUACUGACGCUGAGGAGCGAAAGCGUGGGGAGCGAACAGG